UUAAAUCCACGGUGAAAAGGAGGUCCAUACCCUAUAUUAUUUAGACUCACCAGAUACUCAUCUACUGUUCUGAAUAUUGGAUGUCCUGUUUCUCUUCCACUGAGGACAAAACACUCCAAUUUGAUUCUUUCUACUGAAAAUUCAUAAUGGCCCAUGACGUAUAAUACUGUCGCAAUGGACGUUCUCUAAUUAACUUUAGCACGGGGAACUCAUGUUACCAGCAAGAACUCCCUGUAGUUAAGGAACAGAGAGCAUGGAAAAAAGGAACACAGGAGCUGAGUAUCGGAGAUUAUCAGAAGCGUUUCGUCUGCGUGGAUUCCCUGUUGAACAGGACAGGCGUACAGCCGUGAGUAUUCGCCUUUCGUAACACGCGACACGGGACUGUCAACACACAAAGAACACUGACAGAGGAGCCGGACGGACGGACGGACGGACAGACGGACUGAACCUGUAUGCAGACGGCGAUGAGCAGGCAGGUCUGCGCCAGGAUGGCGAAGGACUGGUAGUCGGCGAUGUCCUUGCCGUCGUAGCGCACCGUGUCGUACAUGGCGGCGUAGGGGAUGAAGAAGAGCACCAGCGAGCUGUAGCCGCUGUGCAGGGCGCAGCGCACGAACGCCGUCUUGCUGAAGUACAGGUUGAGCUGGCCCGGGGCGUACAGCUGUGGGUACUGGAAGCUCCAGCGGUCGUUCACGUCCUGAGGGAAAGACGCGCGUGUUACACACGUGAAUGUCAAUGGUGCCCUGCAUAAACCUAUAAGCUAAUUCCUAGGAUAAACAAAAACUGAUUCUACUUUCAAUUAACCGAUGCUUUAUUGCGGUUAUAUCGUUUGGGGUUUUGAAUGAACUUUAUUAGUUCUUCAGUUACAGUAUGAAAGUGACUGAAUGAGAACCAAGCUGGAUGAGAACUUUAAACGUGAUAUGAAAAAAGCUAUGUACUUACUGUUCACAUUCACACGACUUAUGUAGACAUACUGUACAUAAUACACACAUACACAACUAACCACGCCUACCACAAAUUCACACAAGUGUAAACAUACCUAUCCAAAUAAAUACAAGUGCACAUGCACAUACACACACUAACACCCACUUAAAUACAGACAAAAACAGACAAGCACUUUGAAUUUAAUGUAUAACUUAUUGUUUUGUCUCUGAUUGAUGAAUGUCAUUCUCUCGGUCCAGCUCUCUUACCUGGUCAAACAGACUCAUACCGAGUACAGGGAGGGCCGUGUAGACCAGGUUAUACAAGGUGAUGAACCAUUCAUCAUAGACCGUCUGCAGGGGAAACCCAACAACCAGAUUUCAAUGAACCAUUCAUUCACCACAUGGUCAAAAAAAGGAACAGACACACUGUGAUGACAUUGGAACUUAACCAUUAACCCCACCUGGUCAGGACAAAGUAACACACCGACCCCAACACUACUGUAGAAUAUGCACUUUAUUGCAUAAGAAAGGAAAUGCAACAUUUAGAAUGGAGAUCAGCGUAAGAACACUGUGAUAACUUUUUAAUUAAUUUAAAAAAAAAUUUAUUUAGUAUGAUUUCAAAUGACAGAGUAGGAUCAUAGCAAGAAAACGUGUGGCCAGGAUAUUUUAUUUACUUAACUUAGAAGAUGGAUAAACAGGGUCUCUCUCUCUCUUUCACCUUUUCAUCUACAAACAGACUGAGAGUCCUGAGAACCUGUCCCCUUACACAACAAACACAGCACCUCCUCAAGGCUGGGCAGCAGGAGAAAAACAGCCAGGCCAGCAGGGGGUGCUAGUGCACAUCCACCACCUUUGCUUCCCUCGUGCUGCAUUAUUUGAUCACUCACCUGUGCGGAGAAGCCGCAGAAGAAGGCGUACCAGAAGUGCACGAAGGUGAAGGUGAAGUUCUUGUAGAAGAAGUAGCGCAGGAACUUGCACAUGCGCAGGUAGGACCAGCGCCCGUGCACCAGCAGGAGGCGCUGCAGGUAGCGGAACUGGGCGAAGGAGUAGUCGCUGGACAGCACCGCCUGCAUGCCCUCCUGCCCGCUGAUGCCCACGCCGAUGUGAGCCGCUGUGGGGAAUGAAAGAGCAGAGAGACCCCUGGGAGGGGAUACCUCUGAUCAUGCUGACGUCGUUGGCGCCAUCCCCGAUGGCCAGCGUCACGGCCUUCUUGUACUUCUUGACCAGCUGCACCACCUGGGCCUUCUGGAGGGGCG